rnacentral:rRNA from 1 species
GAGUCGAGAAAGUCUCUUCGGAAGAUAAGUACAGCGGCGGACGGUGAGUAACGCGUGAGAAUUUACCCUUUAGUGAAAGAAUACCUCUGAGAAAUCAGGGUUAAUACUGCAUACGUCCCUACGGGGAGAAAGGUGGCCUCUUUGCUGCCGCUAAAGGAUAAGCUUGCGUACUAUUAGCUAGUUGGUGAGGUAAAGGCUCACCAAGGCGAUGAUGGUUAGCCGGCCUGAGAGGGUGUACGGCCACACUGGAACUUAGACACGGUCCAGACUCCUACGGGAGGCAGCAGUGAGGAAUAUUGCGCAAUGGGCGAAAGCCUGACGCAGCGACGCCGCGUGGAGGAUGAAGGUCUUCGGAUUGUAAACUCCUGUUAAGUGGGAAGAAAGACCUAUUUCUAAUACAGAUAGGGGAUGACGGUACUAUUAGAGAAAGCACCGGCUAACUUCGUG